rnacentral:rRNA from 1 species
UACGUAGGGCGCAAGCGUUGUCCGGAAUUAUUGGGCGUAAAGAGCGUGUAGGCGGCCAGGUAGGUCUGCUGUGAAAACUCGAGGCUCAACCUCGAGACGUCGGCGGAAACCAUCUGGCUAGAGUCCGGAAGAGGAGAGUGGAAUUCCUGGUGUAGCGGUGAAAUGCGCAGAUAUCAGGAAGAACACCCGUGGCGAAGGCGGCUCUCUGGGACGGUACUGACGCUGAGGAGCGAAAGCGUGGGGAGCGAACAGG